AGUAGGUGGGGUAACGGCUCACCUAGGCGACGAUCCCUAGCUGGUCUGAGAGGAUGACCAGCCACACUGGAACUGAGACACGGUCCAGACUCCUACGGGAGGCAGCAGUGGGGAAUAUUGCACAAUGGGCGCAAGCCUGAUGCAGCCAUGCCGCGUGUAUGAAGAAGGCCUUCGGGUUGUAAAGUACUUUCAGCGGGGAGGAAGGGAGUAAAGUUAAUACCUUUGCUCAUUGACGUUACCCGCAGAAGAAGCACCGGCUAACUCCGUGCCAGCAGCCGCGGUAAUACGGAGGGUGCAGCGUUAAUCGGAAUUACUGGGCGUAAAGCGCACGCAGGCGGUUUGUUAAGUCAGAUGUGAAAUCCCCGGGCUCAACCUGGGAACUGCAUCUGAUACUGGCAAGCUUGAGUCUCGUAGAGGGGGGUAGAAUUCCAGGUGUAGCGGUGAAAUGCGUAGAGAUCUGGAGGAAUACCGGUGGCGAAGGCGGCCCCCUGGACGAAGACUGACGCUCAGGUGCGAAAGCGUGGGGAGCAAACAGGAUUAGAUACCCUGGUAGUCCACGCCGUAAACGAUGUCGACUUGGAGGUUGUGCCCUUGAGGCGUGGCUUCCGGAGCUAACGCGUUAAGUCGACCGCCUGGGGAGUACGGCCGCAAGGUUAAAACUCAAAUGAAUUGACGGGGGCCCGCACAAGCGGUGGAGCAUGUGGUUUAAUUCGAUGUAACGCGAAGAACCUUACCUGGUCUUGACAUCCACGGAAGUUUUCAGAGAUGAGAAUGUGCCUUCGGGAACCGUGAGACAGGUGCUGCAUGGCUGUCGUCAGCUCGUGUUGUGAAAUGUUGGGUUAAGUCCCACAACGAGCGCAACCCUUAUCCUUUGUUGCCAGCGGUCCGGCCGGGAACUCAAAGGAGACUGCCAGUGAUAAACUGGAGGAAGGUGGGGAUGACGUCAA
rnacentral:rRNA from 1 species